CAGUAAGUAGUUUAUUAAAAUAUUAAUUUUGGAGAUUAAAGAUGGGUACUUCUCUUUACUGA
rnacentral:tRNA from 1 species